rnacentral:rRNA from 1 species
GACGAACGCUGGCGGCGUGCUUAACACAUGCAAGUCGAACGGAAAGGCCCUGCUUUUGUGGGGUGCUCGAGUGGCGAACGGGUGAGUAACACGUGAGUAACCUGCCCUUGACUUUGGGAUAACUUCAGGAAACUGGGGCUAAUACCGGAUAGGAGCUCCUGCUGCAUGGAGGGGGUUGGAAAGUUUCGGCGGUUGGGGAUGGACUCGCGGCUUAUCAGCUUGUUGGUGGGGGAGUGGCUUACCAAGGCUUUGACGGGUAGCCGGCCUGAGAGGGUGACCGGCCACCUUGGGACUGCGAUACGGCCCAGACUCCUACGGGAGGCAGCAGUGGGGAAUAUUGCACAAUGGGCGGAAGCCUGAUGCAGCAACGCCGCGUGCGGGAUGACGGCCUUCGGGUUGUAAACCGCUUUCGCCUGUGACGAAGCGUGAGUGACGGUAAUGGGUAAAGAAGCACCGGCUAACUACGUG